rnacentral:tRNA from 1 species
GGCGAUAUAGUUUAGUUGGUUAGAAUAGCGGAAUCAUAAUUCGCGGGUCGUUGGUUCAAAUCCGACUAUCGCU